UCGCGACUACUAAAACCUGACUGACGGUAUCCCCCACUAUGUGACUGUUACGAAGUUCAACGAUAACGAAAUGCUUCGCUGAACGGUGUUAGGGAAUGAGAGUCCUUCGCCAAACCGUUGUGUAUAAGGCUCGUAGCUCGUAGCAACGCUGGGCGACUGGUCCGUUCCUGAACUGAAUCCUCAAUAUAUUGCAGCAGAAAACAAGAACAAAUGAGCGUCGCUAGCAGCAUUAUACGAAAAACCACGGACGGAUAAAUAUGUUAGCUAUAGAUAACUCUUAUUUCUUGAGAUGAAAUUACACAUCUCAGAUGCCUUGAACAAAUAAAUUGUAAGAAAAGCUAAUAUUGUUGGAAGAUGGAAGAUACUGUUUCAAGGAAUCAUGAUGUGUACGGGGGAACCCAAUUGUGGAUUGGAUUAUUCAUUAUUCUAUAUGAAUUCGAAAAUAGGUACAGAAGAACGACUAGUGAUUCAUUUUCUUACGCAGAAUUGUUCAUAGUGCUGAGUUGUAGAUGAAGAGCGUUGAACUUGAAUUGGAGUCAGAUUAUUUGGACUAUUACCAUGAAUAAAGACAAUGUAAGAAUUGACAUAUCUUUUUCAAAUUUAUUCAAUGUAAACGAGAAAAAAAUGCAGAAAUAAUAAUCUAAUGUAUGAUA